AUCCUCUGGCAGCACAUAUAGUCAAACUGAAACGAUACAGAGAAGAUUAGCAUGGCCCCUGUGCAAGGAUGACAUGCAAAAUCUGGGGACAUCACAGGCUCAU